AACGAACGCUGGCGGCAUGCCUAACACAUGCAAGUCGAACGAGACCUUCGGGUCUAGUGGCGCACGGGUGCGUAACGCGUGGGAACCUGCCCUUAGGUUCGGAAUAACUCCCCGAAAGGGGUGCUAAUACCGGAUAAUGUCUUCGGACCAAAGAUUUAUCGCCUUUGGAUGGGCCCGCGUUGGAUUAGCUAGUUGGUAGGGUAAAAGCCUACCAAGGCGACGAUCCAUAGCUGGUCUGAGAGGAUGAUCAGCCACACUGGGACUCAGACACGGCCCAGACUCCUACGGGAAGCAGCAGUGGGGAAUAUUGGACAAUGGGCGAAAGCCUGAUCCAGCAAUGCCGCGUGAGUGAUGAAGGCCUUAGGGUUGUAAAGCUCUUUUACCCGGGAUGAUAAUGACAGUACCGGGAGAAUAAGCUCCGGCUAACUCCGUG
rnacentral:rRNA from 1 species